rnacentral:rRNA from 1 species
AAUCAACGCUGGCGGCGUGCCUAACACAUGCAAGUCGAACGAGAAAGUGGAGCAAUCCAUGAGUAAAGUGGCGCACGGGUGAGUAACACGUGACUAACCUACCCUUGAGUGGGGGAUAACCUAGGGAAACCUGGGCUAAUACCGCGUAAUACCUACGGGUCAAGGGAGCAAUUCGCUUUAGGAGGGGGUCGCGGCAGAUUAGUUAGUUGGCGGGGUAAUGGCCCACCAAGACGAUGAUCNGUAUCCGGCCUGAGAGGGCGCACGGACACACUGGAACUGAAACACGGUCCAGACUCCUACGGGAGGCAGCAGUGGGGAAUUUUGCGCAAUGGGGGAAACCCUGACGCAGCAACGCCGCGUGGAGGAUGAAGACCCUUGGGUCGUAAACUCCUUUCGAUCGGGACGAUAAUGACGGUACCGGAAGAACGAAGCCCCGGCUAACUUCGUGCCAGCCGCCGCGGUAAG